AGCUAGUUAGUUAUUUUCAAAAUAUUACUUAGUUACCAGUUUGCCUUUUUGUAAUUCAAUAUUUUACAGUACUCGUGUCUUUUAUUAAUUAGUCUAGGUUGUUAUUCUUGAAAAGUAUAAUAGGAGGGAAAAGAGCUGCUAAGUUUCCUAU